ACCCUUUAAUGUUUGAUGUUCUAACGUGGACCCGUAAUCCGGGUUGCGGACAGUGUCUGGUGGGUAGUUUGACUGGGGCGGUCUCCUCCUAAAGAGUAACGGAGGAGCACGAAGGUUGGCUAAUCCUGGUCGGACAUCAGGAGGUUAGUGCAAUGGCAUAAGCCAGCUUGACUGCGAGCGUGACGGCGCGAGCAGGUGCGAAAGCAGGUCAUAGUGAUCCGGUGGUUCUGAAUGGAAGGGCCAUCGCUCAACGGAUAAAAGGUACUCCGGGGAUAACAGGCUGAUACCGCCCAAGAGUUCAUAUCGACGGCGGUGUUUGGCACCUCGAUGUCGGCUCAUCACAUCCUGGGGCUGAAGUAGGUCCCAAGGGUAUGGCUGUUCGCCAUUUAAAGUGGUACGCGAGCUGGGUUUAGAACGUCGUGAGACAGUUCGGUCCCUAUCUGCCGUGGGCGCUGGAGAACUGAGGGGGGCUGCUCCUAGU
rnacentral:rRNA from 1 species